rnacentral:rRNA from 1 species
UAGGGAAUCUUCGGCAAUGGACGAAAGUCUGACCGAGCAACGCCGCGUGAGUGAUGAAGGUUUUCGGAUCGUAAAACUCUGUUGCCAGGGAAGAAUGGUUAGGCGAGUAACUGCGCUUGAUUUGACGGUACCUGAGAAGAAAGCCCCGGCUAACUACGUGCCAGCAGCCGCGGUAAUACGUAGGGGGCAAGCGUUGUCCGGAAUUAUUGGGCGUAAAGCGCGCGCAGGCGGUCAUUUAAGUCUGGUGUAUAAACCAAGGGCUCAACCUUUGGACGCAUUGGAAACUGGGUGACUGGAGUGUAGGAGAGGAAAGUGGAAUUCCACGUGUAGCGGUGAAAUGCGUAGAGAUGUGGAGGAACACCAGUGGCGAAGGCGACUUUCUGGCCUAUAACUGACGCUGAGGCGCGAAAGCGUGGGGAGCAAACAGGAUUAGAUACCCCCGUAGUCC